AAUGGCUGUCUUUUUUUGAUACACUUUGUUGUUCUGAGACGUUAAUUUUGAUGAAAAAUAUCUAAUGGGUCUAGUCUUUCUUGGAACUAAGUGAGUAUCUCACGAAUUAAAUGACAUGAAUGCUCAGUUAUAUUUCAACAUGAGCAAGAUCAAAGCUUAGAUAACAGUCUUCACAGUCUAUGCAAACAAUCUCUACCUCAUUGUCACUUAAUUCCUUCAUGACAUCCAAUACCUUAGCCCAUCAAAUUCUGAAUUCUUUAGUUUGUAUGUAGUGCCUUCUAAAACAAUUUUUUUUUCUAUUGAUAACGAAUCAAACAUUUUUAGUCCAUCCAUUACAAACCCUAGUUCCUUAUAAUUAUUUAAAAAUUUAUUAAAGAAAUUCCAACAACAUAAAAGAAUGACAAGCGAUGAGUGGAAAGAACAAAUCUAAUAAUAUCACCAUGCCAUCCCAGUAAAAAA
rnacentral:misc_RNA from 1 species